rnacentral:lncRNA from 1 species
CUUGAUAUUUGAGUGCCUCUAGUUCGUUGGGGAAAUCAAGAAUUCAUUCCAACAUGCAAUAAGUACAUCAAUUAUUACUUCUCUCAACUGUAAACCAGCAUUAGAAGAUGUGAUAUUUGUGCUUUGUAAUCCAUCAACUGCUUUAUCUUUUACUGUAUUUUAGGGGAUUUAAUUAUCCAAGCUAAAAGAAAUGUUAGGAAAUGGAAAAUUCAUAGUGUAUUUUUGAAUCUUUGAAGUGCGAGUUCGUGCCCAUGGUGCUUGUUCUAGAUCUUAAACCUGCCUUCUUUCCUUCCACAUUCAUUCUUCGGUUCCAAAUUUGAGUUUGAUACAUGUCCAUCUCAAGUAAUGCUAGAUGUGAUGAACUUUCCCCCCUUCCCUCGAUGUCCUUGUAUAAUAAAUCUGUUUCCACAUAGCAUUCAACGAGCCGUGUGCUUCAAGGCUGUGUAUUGGUUAACUUAUCAGCUAAGAGCAAUGAUGUCUUUGAACGUGGCAUGUACAAUUGCCUUUCUUUUUUUCAAAAGAGAAUCAAAUUUAACAGCCAGGUUGCUGUUAAUUUUCUGGUGUUUUCUUGUCCAAAUCAGUGAUUUAUCUUAAAUCAAAUACAAAACCUCUGUGACGAAUCAUUUGUUUGGUUGAUGUGUUUCUGAAGGAUGCCUGAUAGUUGUUAUUUUGUACACUUGCUAUAUAUUAUCAUCAACAUUCAAGGGAUCUAAAUUGGAAACUUAGGUAAUGAUAUAGCAGGGGACCGGUGGGUGGUCAUCACAUAUUCUCUGGUCUGUCCUCUACAUGCUACUACUUUUCUCUGCUUCAGGCCCUUGAUAUUUGAGUGCCUCUAGUUCGUUGGGGAAAUCAAGAGCAUACGAACGUAAUGAUGGUACAUCAAUUAUUACUUCUCUCAACUGUAAACCAGCAUUAGAAGAUGUGAUAUUUGUGCUUUGUAAUCCAUCAACUGCUUUAUCUUUUACUGUAUUUUAGGGGAUUUAAUUAUCCAAGCUAAAAGAAAUGUUAGGAAAUGGAAAAUUCAUAGUGUAUUUUUGAAUCUUUGAAGUGCGAGUUCGUGCCCAUGGUGCUUGUUCUAGAUCUUAAACCUGCCUUCUUUCCUUCCACAUUCAUUCUUCGGUUCCAAAUUUGAGUUUGAUACAUGUCCAUCUCAAGUAAUGCUAGAUGUGAUGAACUUUCCCCCCUUCCCUCGAUGUCCUUGUAUAAUAAAUCUGUUUCCACAUAGCAUUCAACGAGCCGUGUGCUUCAAGGCUGUGUAUUGGUUAACUUAUCAGCUAAGAGCAAUGAUGUCUUUGAACGUGGCAUGUACAAUUGCCUUUCUUUUUUUCAAAAGAGAAUCAAAUUUAACAGCCAGGUUGCUGUUAAUUUUCUGGUGUUUUCUUGUCCAAAUCAGUGAUUUAUCUUAAAUCAAAUACAAAACCUCUGUGACGAAUCAUUUGUUUGGUUGAUGUGUUUCUGAAGGAUGCCUGAUAGUUGUUAUUUUGUACACUUGCUAUAUAUUAUCAUCAACAUUCAAGGGAUCUAAAUUGGAAACUUAGGUAAUGAUAUAGCAGGGGACCGGUGGUCAUCACAUAUUCUCUGGUCUGUCCUCUACAUGCUACUACUUUUCUCUGCUUCAGGCCCUUGAUAUUUGAGUGCCUCUAGUUCGUUGGGGAAAUCAAGAAUUCAUUCCAACAUGCAAUAAGUACAUCAAUUAUUACUUCUCUCAACUGUAAACCAGCAUUAGAAGAUGUGAUAUUUGUGCUUUGUAAUCCAUCAACUGCUUUAUCUUUUACUGUAUUUUAGGGGAUUUAAUUAUCCAAGCUAAAAGAAAUGUUAGGAAAUGGAAAAUUCAUAGUGUAUUUUUGAAUCUUUGAAGUGCUUGUUCGUGCCCAUGGUGCUUGUUCUAGAUCUUAAACCUGCCUUCUUUCCUUCCACAUUCAUUCUUCGGUUCCAAAUUUGAGUUUGAUACAUGUCCAUCUCAAGUAAUGCUAGAUGUGAUGAACUUUCCCCCCUUCCCUCGAUGUCCUUGUAUAAUAAAUCUGUUUCCACAUAGCAUUCAACGAGCCGUGUGCUUCAAGGCUGUGUAUUGGUUAACUUAUCAGCUAAGAGAAAUGAUGUCUUUGAACGUGGCAUGUACAAUUGCCUUUCUUUUUUUCAAAAGAGAAUCAAAUUUAACAGCCAGGUUGCUGUUAAUUUUCUGGUGUUUUCUUGUCCAAAUCAGUGAUUUAUCUUAAAUCAAAUACAAAACCUCUGUGACGAAUCAUUUGUUUGGUUGAUGUGUUUCUGAAGGAUGCCUGAUAGUUGUUAUUUUGUACACUUGCUAUAUAUUAUCAUCAACAUUCAAGGGAUCUAAAUUGGAAACUUAGGUAAUGAUAUAGCAGGGGACCGGUGGUCAUCACAUAUUCUCUGGUCUGUCCUCU